rnacentral:rRNA from 1 species
AUACGGAGGGUGCAAGCGUUAUUCGGAAUCACUGGGCGUAAAGGACGCGUAGGCGGGUUGGCAAGUCAGAUGUGAAAUCCUACAACUUAACUGUAGAACUGCAUUUGAAACUGCUAACCUAGAGUAUGGGAGGGGGAGAUGGAAUUAGUGGUGUAGGGGUAAAAUCCGUAGAUAUCACUAGGAAUACCGAAAGCGAAGGCGAUCUCCUGGAACAUAACUGACGCUAAGGCGUGAAAGCGUGGGGAGCAAACAGGAUUAGAAACCCUAGUAGUCC